AGAGCCUACGAAAAUAAAUCGUUUGAGAUCAAACUGUAAUUAUUUUAUCUAAGUAGCAUUACCUUUUGGAACAGGUCCCGGUAUAAAUUUUGUUUCGUCAUAGUCUGGAUUGGGGUUUGUGUAAAUAGUCAAGUUUGGAAUAAACCACAGACAGCCGUUCUCUAAAGUUACAUCUUCCAACGCGAACCACAUGCCGACUAUCUUCAUGGGUU